UGCGUAGGGUGCGAGCGUUAAUCGGAAUUACUGGGCGUAAAGCGUGCGCAGGCGGUUCGUUGUGUCGGCGGUGAAAGCCCCGGGCUCAACCUGGGAAUGGCCGUUGAAACUGGCGAACUGGAGUGUGGCAGAGGGGGGUGGAAUUCCGCGUGUAGCAGUGAAAUGCGUAGAGAUGUGGAGGAACACCGAUGGCGAAGGCAGCCCCCCUGGGUCGACACUGACGCUCAUGCACGAAAGCGUGGGGAGCAAACAGG
rnacentral:rRNA from 1 species